AAUAGAUACCCAGGUAGUCCACGCCGUAAACGAUGGGUACUAGGCGUCUGGGGGGAGCGACCCCCUGGGUGCCGGCGCUAACGCAUGAAGUACCCCGCCCUGGGGAGUACGGCCGCAAGGCUGAAACUCAAAGGAAUUGACGGGGGCCCGCACAAGCGGUGGAGCAUGUGGUUUAAUUCGACGCAACGCGAAGAACCUUACCUGGGCUUGACAUGCUGGAGAAAGCUCCCAGAAACGGGAGCCCCUCUUCGGAGUUCCAGCACAGAUGCUGCAUGGCUGUCGUCAGCUCGUGUCGUGAGAUGUUGGGUUAAGUCCCGCAACGAGCGCAACCCUCAUCCCUAGUUACCAGCGGGUAAAGCCGGGAACUCUAGGGGGACUGCCGGUGCCAAACCGGACGAAGGUGGGGACGACGUCAAGUCAUCAUGGCUCUUACGUCCAGGGCUACACACGUGCUACAAUGGGUCAGACAAAGGGCAGCCAACCCGCGAGGGGGAGCCAAUCCCAUAAACUGAUCCUCAGUUCGGAUUGCAGUCUGCAA
rnacentral:rRNA from 1 species